AUUGAACGCUAACGGCGCGCUUAACACAUGCAAGUCGAGCGGCAGCAUUGUAGAGACGUGAUUUAUCACGCCUCUGUAGAUGGCGAGCGGCGGACGGGUGAGUAAUGUAUAGGAAUCUGCCUUGUAGUGGGGGAUAACCCGGGGAAACUCGGGCUAAUACCGCAUAAUCUCUAUGGAGCAAAGUGGGGGACCGUAAGGCCUCACGCUAAAAGAUGAGCCUAUAUUGGAUUAGCUAGUUGGUGGGGUAAAGGCCUACCAAGGCAACGAUCCAUAGCUGGUCUGAGAGGAUGAGCAGCCACACUGGGACUGAGACACGGCCCAGACUCCUACGGGAGGCAGCAGUGGGGAAUAUUGGACAAUGGGGGAAACCCUGAUCCAGCGACGCCGUGUGUGUGAAGAAGGCCUUAGGGUUGUAAAGCACUUUUAGUUGGGAAGAAAAGCUCAAGGGUAAUAUCCUUGAGUCUUGACGUUACCAACAGAAAAAGCACUGGCUAACUCUGUGCCAGCCGCCGCAGUAA
rnacentral:rRNA from 1 species